rnacentral:rRNA from 1 species
GGAAGCUCGAGGCAAUAACAGGUCUGUGAUGCCCUUAGAUGCCUUCGGCAGCACGCGUACUACAAUGUUAAAAUAGCAAGUUAAUGAGUCCAUCAGGAUUCGGCUGCUCAUAGCUGAGUGGCUAAACUUGUAAAAUUUUAACAUGACAGGGAUUGGUCAUUGGAAGUGGACCAUGAACGAGGAAUUCCUCGUAAUCGCAAGUCAUCAUCUUGCAAUGAUUACGUCCCUGCCUUUUGUACACACCGCCCGUCGCUCCUACCGAUUGGAGAAAGAAGUGAAAUGGAAGGAUUGGCCUUCGGGUCUAAAGAAUUCCCUUGAACUUCUUUCUCUGUAGGAAGGAGAAGUCGUAACAAGGUCUUCGUAGGUGAACCUGCAGAAGGAUCAA